rnacentral:rRNA from 1 species
GCGACCCCAGGUCAGGCGGGACUGCCCGCU